UCAUUGACAGUUCUUCUAUGAAAGUGACAGCGUCGGAUUUGAACGGUUUGCUCAGCAAUUGUAAACAAGUGCAGUCCCGGCAGUGUCACAUGAAAAGUAACAGAAGUUGGAAAAAGUUAAGAAUUUUUUAAUCGCAUCUACGGCUUAAAGAUUAUUUACUAUGAUCGAUUUCGGAAAUUAUGUUUUACUUCUUAGCUCAAAAAAUGGGAAAGCUAUUCCAUCGAGGGUCAAAGAAUUUUGUUGCUCUGAACAGCUCUGAACCAUGAAAUCCAUCAAUCUGUCGAGUUCGAAUAAUUCGAGUCGGGUUCUCAUUUGCGACAUACAUUAUACGUUCUGGAUAAAUGUGACCUGCGCGUACGAAUGGCUGCAGUCGGUUUACAUACUUCAAGGACAAAGUGGUAGGAGAGCAGAUUGAUUAGGGCUUGCUUGCUUGCCCGAACGCAUACCACAUGCCGCCUUUACUAGUAAAGUGGGCAAACCAAUAUCCGUAUGAUUUCAUUGUCCUUCCCGGGACAAUCUUCCUCACCUUGACGCAGUACGAAAGGACACCGAAUGCCUCUGUGAAACGGGACAAUAGAUUACUUUAAAACUCUAGGAAUGUAACUGAUAGCAGACCAUAUUCGAUGAAGAUUUUGACGCCGAAGAACUGCGCGUGCUGCUCUGCUACACCAAGGACGAAAAGCUGGAUAUAAAAAAUCGAACCGGUCUAUGGCCGCCCUGUACGACAUGAGGACAACAUUCCGAGACAAUAUGAACGAUUGCUUCUAGGUGAAAUUAUAGAAGCUGUUUGAGGAUCUGACGCUGUUGAAUCACGUGUCCCUUUUUAGUUUUAGAAAAAUGUAAUGAACAAAUUUAUAUUUAGUAGAAUAAGAAAAUAGCAGAAGAAAGAAUAUGAAGAGGUGCAUGCAAGCAAUGGAGCAUAGGAUACUAGAAAGCAAGAUAGGAAUUUUGAAGAUAUGUGGUAUGUGAAAUAAAAUAUAUGAACAAUAUUCCUUCCGUAAUAAAUAAGUAAUAAUUGUGGAAUUCGUAAGGCAAGGGUUCCAUUAGCAGAGUCCAUUCAUAUGUUGCUGGCCUUCUCUUUACUCUAUACUCUAUACAAACACUCCGUAAUAGGAAAUGUUAGCUUACUAUGUAAUCAUUAUGAAUCACCAUCUGUCACAAUGUUUAUCAAUUAACUACACACUUAAAAUAAAUCGCCGAAUUCGGUAAAAUUUUACCGAAAUCUCAACAGCAGAACUGUUCGGUAAAUAAUUUAACUGAUUUUCGGUGAUUUU